GUUGGUUAGGUGUUCACGGAAGAGGUGGGUCUUUAGCUGUUUUUUGAAGAUGGUGAGAGAUUCUGCGGUCCGGAUUGAGGUUGGAAGUUCAUUCCACCGCUGAGGAACAGUUAGUUUGAAUGUUCUGGAAAGGGACCUUGAGCCGCGCUGAGCGGCUACAGGAAGCCAGCGGAGGGAGAUGAAGAGGAGUGUGACAUGGGUUCUCUUGGGCUGGUUGAAGACAAGGCGUGCUGCAGCAUUCUGUAUCAUCUGGAGGGGUUUGAUGGAGCUGGCCGGGAGGCCCGAGAGUAGUGAGUUGCAGUAGUCCAGUUUUGAUAUGACAAGAGCCUGGACUAGUAGUUGUGUAGCCUGUUCGGUGAGGUAGGGUCUGAUUCUCUUGAUGUUGUACAGGAUGAAACUACAGGACCGUGCAGUUGUUGAGAUGUGGUCAGUAAAGGUCAAGCUGUCAUCGAGAAUCAUCCAAAGGUUCCUGGCCGUCCUGGUUGGCUUGAGUGUGGUUGAGCCGAGCUGUACAGUGAGGUUGUGGUUGAUUGAGGGGCAGGCUGGGAUGACGAGAAGCUCAGAUUUUGCCACGUUGAGCUUAAGGUAGUGUUCCCUCAUCCAGACCGAAAUGUCCGUCCGGCAAGCAGAGAUACGUGCAGAGACGGAUGGAUCCCCAGGCUGGAAGGACAAAUCGAGCUAGGUGUCAUCAGCAUAGCAGUGGUAUGAGAAGCCAUGAGACUCAAUCACCUGCCCAGAGAUGUAGUGUAGAUAGAAAAGAACUAGAAAAUUAUAUGACGAGUGCCUUACUCACUCUGAAGAGUGUAUCAAGUAUGAAAAUCUUCCUCAUUGCUAAUUUUUCCUCAUGGUUAUUAUGUUUGGCACGUCUUAAUGUGUCUCCUCGUUGUCACCUCCAGGUGAAGAUGGAAAAUUGCCGCUCCAGGGGGUCUGGCUUCGUGCACUCCUCAUCUUCCCAGGAAGCCACGAAGGCCAGGAAUCUGCACUAGACUGCGCAGACCAUCCAGCCACAACGAAACCCUAAAGAUGCUUCAUAACAUCAAUGACAGGAAUAAGAGGAAGAAGAAGAAAAGAAAAGAAAGAACAAUAAAUAAACAUUGUACUCAACAUUUGCAC
ensembl:lncRNA